rnacentral:misc_RNA from 1 species
CUGGUUUAUCAUUUCCAAAUACCUGCAACACCUCCUCUCUGGCACGUACUUGCCACUCGGGAUGUAGGCACAACAAAAUCAUUGUCCAUACGAGCAACACUGAAGUGGUCUCUUGUCCAGCAAAAUAGAAUAACUUGCACUCUUCAAUCACUUCAACUGUUGUCAUUCCGAAAUCUUUGCUUCCGUGUUGUUCAAUUUCUUUCAUAUUGGAUUCAAGUAAUAUGCCUAGUAAGUCAUCUUUACUAGUCUCCCCUCCUUCCAUUGCCCUCAAUCUCUUGUCAAUGAUACGCCUAAUUGUUGUUUGAAUUUCCUUUUCAAUUUCCAG